UGACGACUUUGGGUCCACCUCCCACCCGUGUUUAUUUUACCUUGUUGCUUCGGCGGGCCCGCCUUUACUGGCCGCCGGGGGGCUCACGCCCCCGGGCCCGCGCCCGCCGAAGACACCCCCGAACUCUGUCUGAAGAUUGAAGUCUGAGUGAAAAUAUAAAUUAUUUAAAACUUUCAACAACGGAUCUCUUGGUUCCGGCAUCGAUGAAGAACGCAGCGAAAUGCGAUACGUAAUGUGAAUUGCAAAUUCAGUGAAUCAUCGAGUCUUUGAACGCACAUUGCGCCCCCUGGUAUUCCGGGGGGCAUGCCUGUCCGAGCGUCAUUGCUGCCCUCAAGCCCGGCUUGUGUGUUGGGCCCCGUCCUCCGAUUCCGGGGGACGGGCCCGAAAGGCAGCGGCGGCACCGCGUCCGGUCCUCGAGCGUAUGGGGCUUUGUCACCCGCUCUGUAGGCCCGGCCGGCGCUUGCCGAUCAACCCAAAUUUUUAUCCAGGUUGACCUCGGAUCAGGUAGGGAUACCCGCUGAACUUAAGCAUAUCAAUAAGUAAG
rnacentral:rRNA from 1 species